GUGGCCUUCUGGCUCUCUGAGCAGCACCAUGGUGGUCGUCAAAAACAAGCGCCUUACAAAAGGUGGCAAAAAGGGAGCCAAGAAGAAAGUGGUUGAUCCAUUUUCUAAGAAAGAUUGGUAUGAUGUGAACGCACUGGCCAUGUUCAAUAUAAGGAACAUUGGAAAGAUGCUCGUCACGAGGACUCAGGGAACCAAAAUUGCAUCUGAUGGCCUCAAGGAUUGUGUGUUUGAAGUGAGUCUUGCUGAUCUGCAGAACGAUAAGUUGCAUUUAGAAAAUUCAAGCUAAUUACUGAGGAUGUUCAGGGCAAAAACUGCCUGACUAACUUCCAUGGCAUGGAUCUUACCCGCGACAAAAUGUGUUCAUUUUGUCAAAAACUGGCAGACCAUGAUUGAAGCUCACAAUGGUGUUAAGACUACUGAUGGGUAUUUGCUUCGUCUGUUCUAUGUCAGUUUUACUAAAAAAUGCAACAAGCAGAUACGCAAGACCUCUUACGCUCAGCACCAGCAGGUCCACCAAAUUCGGAAGAAGAAGAUGGAAAUCAUGACCCGAGAGGUGCAGACAAAUGACCUGAAGGAAGUGGUUAAUAAACUGAUUCCAGACAGCACUGGGAAAGACAUAGAAAAGGCUUGCCAGUCUAUUUAUCCACUUCAUGAUGUCUUCGUCAGAGAAGUAAAAAUGCUCAAGAAGCCCAAGUCUGAAUUGGGAAAACUCAUGGAGCUUCGUGGUGAAAGUAGUAGUUCUGGAAAAGCUACAGGUGACGAGACAGGUGCUAAAGUCGAACAAGCUGAUGGCUAUGAACCACCAGUCCAAGAAUCUGUCUAAAAGUUCAGAUUUUUAAUAGUGGCAAAUAAAACAUCCUAUUUGUG